UACAGAGGUCUCAAGCGUUGUUCGGAAUCACUGGGCGUAAAGGGUGCGUAGGCGGGUCUUUAAGUCAGGGGUGAAAUCCUGGAGCUCAACUCCAGAACUGCCUUUGAUACUGAGGAUCUUGAGUUCGGGAGAGGUGAGUGGAACUGCGAGUGUAGAGGUGAAAUUCGUAGAUAUUCGCAAGAACACCGGUGGCGAAGGCGGCUCACUGGCCCGAUACUGACGCUGAGGCACGAAAGCGUGGGGAGCAAACAGGG
rnacentral:rRNA from 1 species